UACGAAGGGGGCUAGCGUUGCUCGGAAUCACUAGGCGUAAAGCGCAGGUAGGCGGUUCGGUAAGUCCUUUGUGAAAGCUCCCGGCUUAACUGGGAGAGGCCAAGGGAAACUACCGGGCUAGAGUGUGGUAGGGGAAACUGGAAUUCCUGGUGUAGCGGUGAAAUGCGUAGAUAUCAGGAGGAACACCCGUAGCGAAGGCGGCACUCUGGGCCGAUACUGACACUGAGGAGCGAAAGCGUGGGGAGCGAACAGG
rnacentral:rRNA from 1 species